UGUUGCUAACCAAUAACAUGGGAGUUUCACGGGGCUUGGUGUGAAUGUAUGUGUUGUCUUCAUUAGGUUGUGGGUUCCUUAGAAAUGUAUCUCUGCUAGUUAUGUAUUAGUUACAGUAGUAUUUGGCGUCAUUUCCUGUAAAUUGUAUCUUAUGUUGGUGAACAGUAUAAGCCAAGGUAACUGAAACAGUAGCUAUAAAAUAUGGAAUCUACUGUUGCUUCUAAAAUACCCUUCAAGGAUUUAUGUCUUCUCUGUGAGAAAAUUAGUAGCAGUGCACGUUCCAUGAAGGGAGCAUACCUCAGAAAGUACAUCAGCUACUUCCGUGAAUAUGCCAAGAAGAUGAAACAGGAAACACCAUCAUUGGAUGACAGUUUCUAUCCCAUCCUACGACUACUACUGCCACAGCUAGACCGAGAACGUGGUGCUUAUGGUGUAAAGGAGCACAACUUAGCUAAAGUUUACAUCCGUAUCCUUGGUCUGCCUAAGGAAGGACAUGAUGCAUCAAAACUACUCAAUUUUAGGGCUCCAAAAACUGCAGGCAAACUUGCUGGUGACUUUGCAGAGGUGGCUUUCUGGGUUCUGAAAAGUCGUUGUCCUGAAGGGGGGAGUCUGAAUGUGGAGCAAGUGAACAUGCAUCUCAAUAAGAUCGUACUGAAACAUGCAGCUCAUGAUCCAAGAGGGGUUGAUGCUGAGCUUGUUGCAAUGUUGACGUCAAUGUCUGCAGCAGAACAGAAAUGGUUGAUACGGAUGUUGUUAAAGGACAUGAAAUUUGGCUUGGGCCAGAAUAGUAUUUUUGGCAUAUAUCAUCCAGAUGCCAAGGAGCUGUAUGAUGUUUGUAACAACCUUCAUAAGGUUUGCCAGUUGUUACACAAUCCCACAGUUCGUUUGCAUGAAGUGGAAGUUUCAUUAUUCUCUCCAUUUCGACCAAUGCUGGCAGAACGUUGUAAUGUGCGCUCUGUAGAAGAAUCCAUGAAGAAAAGCCAGUUUUAUUAUGUAGAAACUAAACAUGAUGGUGAAAGGUUUCAGUUGCACAUGGAGAAUGGAGUUUUCAAAUAUUUCUCCAGAAAUGGUUAUGAAUACACAGAUGGUUUUGCCACACUUCUGACACCCCAUGUGGCAAAACUACUGCGAACUGAUAUAAAGAGCUGCAUACUGGAUGGAGAAAUGAUGGGAUGGAAUCAAAAGUUGAAGUGUUUUAAAACUAAAGGUAUUGAUUUUGAUGUGAAGUACCUGAAGAUGGGAGAUGACAUUCGCCCAUGUCUGUGUGUGUUUGAUAUAUUGCUGUGUAAUGGGCAAGUACUUACCAAUAAGCCACUGUGUGAGCGACUCCAUUUCCUAGAGAGUCUCUUCACACCUUCUGAGGGGAUCAUCAUGUACACAGAACAGAAGAAAGUGACAACUGGGCAAGAAGUAAUGGAUGAACUAAAUUUGGCAAUUGAUAAGAGGUUGGAAGGAAUUAUACUUAAAGAUCCAACAUCAGUUUAUAAACCUAAUGCAAGGAAAGGAGGCUGGUACAAAAUCAAACCAGAGUACACAGAGGGGUUAAUGGACCAUGUGGAUCUUAUUAUUAUGGGUGGUUACUUUGGAGAAGGACGGAGGAAGGGCAUCAGUCACUUCCUUCUUGGAGCUGCUGUGCCCCCAGCUACUGAAGGUAUGGAACCUGUGGAGUUUCAUUCUGUUGUUCGUGUGGGCUCAGGCUACUCAAUGUAUGAGUUGUCAGAAUUACUUCAAAAACUUUCACCUCACUGGCAGCGUGUUUUGCCAGGACAGUGUCCACCUUGUCUUGCAUGGACCAAGGAAAAGCCAGAUGUAUGGAUUGCUCCACAAAAUUCUUACAUACUGGAGGUGAAAGCAACAGAGAUUGUACCAAGCAAAUCAUUCAAAGUUAACUUUACACUUCGAUUUCCUCGAGUGGAGACUAUUCGCUAUGACAAAAAGUGGUCUGAUUGCAUGACUCUUACAGAGUUUGACAGCUUAAGGAAGGAAGCAUCUGGAAAGCUGUACUCUAGACACGUGGAUGCCAGUAAUGAAUUGCCCGAAUCACCAAGAAAGAAGCAGCGGCAUUUGACUCGAGUACCUAUUAAAUUGGGUGAACAGUUUCGUGGUAUUGAUAUAUCUGGAAUCGAUGUGGUAACAGACUUGUUAGAAGGGAAGGAGUUUUGUGUGCUAACAGAUUGGAAAGAACAUACAAAGCAAGAUAUAGAAACCAAAAUUGUUCAGAAUGGAGGCACAGUUGUACAAAACACAGGGCACAAUACAUUUUGUGCUGUGGCUGGAAAUACCACACUCCGCGUGCACAACAUUGCUAAGAGUGGACGGUAUAGUGUUGUCCAUGUAGACUGGCUGCUGCGUUCCAUAGCUGCUGGUGAACUGUUGCCCUGGACACCUGCUGAUUUGUUAUAUGCAACAUCAACUGUAAGCGAGCAGCUAUCAGCAAAGUAUGAUAUGUUUGGGGACAGCUACACACAACCGCUGAAUAAAGAUACAUUGAAAUAUGUGUUUGAACAAGUUGAGAAAAUGGACAGUGUUGUCGACCUCACUGAAGAAAUGUUAGCAGAUCUUGAAAUAGAACUGUUUCCUGGGCCCAGUCCUUAUGGCUUGUUCCGUUUGUGUCGGGCGUAUGUGGACAAAUAUUACCGGUUAAAUGAUCCAUUGUCAGGUGAAAGUAAUAAAUUGGAUAUUGUUGAAGUUUAUUUCAGUUUCUAUGGAGGCCAGACAUUUUUACAAAUAGAUGAGCUGACCACUCAUGUGAUUGUGCAUUCUGAGUCACAGGAAAGGCUUGAUGAGAUCAAAGGUCUGAAUGAAGAGAGAGGGUGCAGGUUCUACAUUGUGACUGAGAAUUGGGUCCAUGAGACAAUUAAAAUGAAGAGCAGGCAAAAUGAGCAUGAUUACUCAUUGUAAUGUACACAAUGUUUCAUAUAAGGGAUGCUGCAACUGCUCCUUAGUUGAUCCAUCAUCAAACAAGGAACCAAUAACACCAGUGUCCAAGGCAGUGCUUCACAAUUUAGAUGUAUAUUCAGUACACCACGACUACAAUCCGUGCCAAAUGGAAACCAUCCAUCUUCUCCAUUGACCAAAUAAAACGGUGGUUUACUUCAUCAUCUACGUGACAUGGGCGAUCAGGAUCCUUUGCAUGCAGAAAUAUGUAUUUCAUUGGAAUGGGCUUCUCAGAUUAGAUGUGAAAUUAUUGAAGAUUUUUGCUGCCAGCAUAAUAUGCACAUCUCUGAAAAAAUUAGGGGCUGGCAACUUACCUGCGAAGAUGGUACGUGUUUGUUAAGUUAAAACUAUGUACAGCAUAAUUUAUCUGAAAAUAUUCUUGGCUAUUCACAAUGAAUUUUGUUAAUGAGUACAUGUAUUCUCAUGAAGAGAUAAGGUCACUAAUCCCAAAAAUAGACCUCUGCAUGAAUUUAUAGGUUUGACAUCUGCCAUGAUUUUAAAAUUUUAUUUUGUAAUGUAAAUAUCUGGAAAAAAGAAUUUACUUGGAAGAUGAAGUCAGAGUUCUUUUUUUUUAUUGUUACUGGGGUGGGACUGUGUCCCUCGUACUGCAGCCACUUCUGGCCUAUUGUACCAUCCCCAGGUGAUAAGUUAUGGUGAUUGUGGAGCAAU